GAUGGACGCUGGCGGCGUGCCUAAUACAUGCAAGUCGAGCGAACAGAUGAGGAGCUUGCUCCUUUGACGUUAGCGGCGGACGGGUGAGUAACACGUGGGUAACCUACCUAUAAGACUGGGAUAACUUCGGGAAACCGGAGCUAAUACCGGAUAAUAUUUCGAACCGCAUGGUUCGAUAGUGAAAGAUGGUUUUGCUAUCACUUAUAGAUGGACCCGCGCCGUAUUAGCUAGUUGGUAAGGUAACGGCUUACCAAGGCGACGAUACGUAGCCGACCUGAGAGGGUGAUCGGCCACACUGGAACUGAGACACGGUCCAGACUCCUACGGGGGGCAGCAGUAGGGAAUCUUCCGCAAUGGGCGAAAGCCUGACGGAGCAACGCCGCGUGAGUGAUGAAGGUCUUCGGAUCGUAAAACUCUGUUAUUAGGGAAGAACAUACGUGUAAGUAACUGUGCACGUCUUGACGGUACCUAAUCAGAAAGCCACGGCUAACUACGUGCCAGCAGCCGCCGUAA
rnacentral:rRNA from 1 species